CAACAGGGAUUCCCCUAGUAACGGCGAGUGAAGCGGGAACAGCUCAAAUUUGAAAUCUGGCCCUCGGGUCCGAGUUGUAAUUUGUAGAGGAUGCUUUUGGUGCGGUGCCUUCCGAGUUCCCUGGAACGGGACGCCUUAGAGGGUGAGAGCCCCGUACGGUUGGACGCCUAGCCUCUGUAAAGCUCCUUCGACGAGUCGAGUAGUUUGGGAAUGCUGCUCUAAAUGGGAGGUAUAUUUCUUCUAAAGCUAAAUACUGGCCAGAGACCGAUAGCGCACAAGUAGAGUGAUCGAAAGAUGAAAAGCACUUUGAAAAGAGGGUUAAAUAGCACGUGAAAUUGUUGAAAGGGAAGCGUUUAUCACCAGACUUUUUCUAGGGGGAUCAUCCGGUGUUCUCACCGGUGCACUUCCCCUAGUUGAGGCCAGCAUCGGUUUUCGGAGGGGGAUAAAAGUUUCGGGAAUGUGACUCCCCCGGGAGUGUUAUAGCCCGUUACAUAAUACCCUUCUGGGGACCGAGGUUCGCGCAUCUGCAAGGAUGCUGGCAUAAUGGUGAUCAACGACCCGUCUUGAAACACGGACCAAGGAGUCGAACAUUUAUGCGAGUGUUUGGGUGUCAAACCCUCACGCGUAAUGAAAGUGAACGGAGGUGAGAGCCCUUACGGGUGCAUCAUCGACCGAUCCUGAUGUCUUCGGAUGGAUUUGAGUAAGAGCAUAACUGUUCGGACCCGAAAGAUGGUGAACUAUGCGUGGAUAGGGUGAAGCCAGGAGAAAUCCUGGUGGAGGCUCGCAGCGGUUCUGACGUGCAAAUCGAUCGUCAAAUCUGCGCAUGGGGGCGAAAGACUAAUCGAACCAUC
rnacentral:rRNA from 1 species